GGAUGCUGUUUUAGGGAUGCUGGAGGCAUAAAAGAUUUUGAAUGCUUCAAUUUUUCCUCUAAUUAAAGCCAUUUUUUUUUUCCCUCCACAAAGCUAAGAACGUUUCUUCAGGGUCUAAGAACGUUGUUAAGAAACACGUCCAAGUAGAUCUCUGUAAAAGAAUAAAAUUUUACCGUGAAAAUAACAACAGAACUUGGCGUAUCACGAGUUUGGAUCAUUUCUUUAUUGAGCAUAACGCUUAGAAGGCAUUGAGAGGGAGUUGUGGUUGAUCCCUUUAUAAAUCCGCUGGUUUUAGUCGUAAUUUUGUUUUGCGGAGGGCAUGAUACGUUGGUUCUAAAACAGCAAACACUGAAGAGCAGCGUUACAAAUGGAAAUACUUGACGUGUUGAGUCCUUCAUGGCACCUGCUCAUCUUGCGUUUUCCUCAGCCAGAAACGUCAAGACUUUUCUUGUCCUGACCGUACGUUUGUGCUGGAUCAGGAGCAGAGAGGGCGGGAAGAGCUCACUGGGCCGCCUUCCAGCUUCGGUUCUUGAUCGCCGGCUCCGUCGCCAACCGCUGAAGCAAUGCAACUGCGCCUCACAUCAGCCUUUGCGAGAGGUGGCUCUGUUUCCAUUUUGAUUUCAAGGAACCCAUUGCAUCAAUACCCGUUCACAUGACCUUUUUCUGACGUCCCUUGGCGUGCGGAAGAUGUGUACCCAGCUUGAGUUUAACAGAACUCUUCAUGUGAUCAGCAGUUGGGAUGAGGAGGAACUUCUUCCAAACUGUGAUCCCUGUCAUCUUAUGUCGAUGGGUGUCUAACGAACGGCGUAGGUGGGUGUCUAACGAACAACAUAGGUGGGUGUCUAACGAACGAACGACGUAGGUGGGUGUCUAA
rnacentral:lncRNA from 1 species